UGGAAAUCGGCCCGAAGGCCUAGAACUUUUUUUCCCCUCCUUCUUCUUCUCUCUGGCCCAAGUGGACCGCGGCCCAGCUUCCGGCCCACUGCGCAACAGCCCAGCGCCAGCGCUUUUCUCCCCUCUCUUCUUCCACCGACAAGCGGGUCCCGUGCUUCUAGGUCACAGACAGGUGGGGCCCACCUGUCAGGGCCUUCUUCCACCUCGUGAUGGAGCCGGACUCCACCGUG
rnacentral:lncRNA from 1 species